UACACUGUGAAUACUCCAUUUUUGAAGCCAUGGCGCGCCAAUCCAAUCCGAAACCGAAGCCGUUAUACACUCUCUUCUUCUUCAUGAUCCUUUGUGGAUUCACCUACGGUCGCUUCAUUUCUGACAGUCCAGAUCUCGUCUCUGACGGGGUUCAUACACACGCCUCCAGUUUGCCUUCAUUUAUCCGCAUGUACGCGGCAGAGGAGACGUGUGAACAAACGUACGGGUUCAUGCCGUGCACCUCUACGGCAUUGGGAAAUCUGUUCCUAAUUAUAGUUUAUGGAUACCUGAUGUUCCAAGCCGCGACGUACCUCUCCAGUGGUAGUGAGCUUUUGCUUGAGAUUCUCGGUCCUGGAAUUGUUGGUGGUCUUUUUCUCCCUAUUCUCGGAGCUCUUCCUGAUGCUAUGCUUAUUCUCGGUACUAAUCAAUUUUCACUAUUUCAUCGUAUAUUCAAAGUUAGCUGAAUUUAUUAUGCUUUGCUGUGCGCUUUGCCCGGUCAGCUAUAAAAAGAGUUAAUGAAAAUUUCAGGUUGAAUAGAAACUUGAUACACAUAGCGCAGUGUUGAGAGCAGAUUGUCUGAAAAUUGAGUCGGAUACUCUAUACCUACAUGCAUAGUAAUUUAAAUUUCCUUUAAUUAAUAUCACAAGUUGAAAAGCAAAGUAUGCGUCUUUGGGUAUAAAUUCAUCUCUAAGAAACUGAAAAUGAAUAGAUUUGGUCUUUUUGAUUUAUUUAUUUUUUCAAAAAAGUAAAUAUCCCCUUUAGAUUUUUUUUUUUUUAAAAUUCAUAACAGUGUCUACCCCCUCACAUGGAGGAGACUCACUCAUUUAUUUGAAGUGGAUCCCCCUCCACGUAAGGGAUGGACACCGUUAUAGAGAUCGUAUUAUAUAAAAGUAGCAUAUUCCUUUUUUUAAAACCUUCCUUUGUAUUUAACCGCAUGAUGUAGUAAAUUAGAUUAGGGAAUUUACCAACUUAAUGUUCAUCUUCUCCCAUGUUUUAAAUUUGAAAAUUUUAAUGACAUUAUCAAUACUUCUUCAAAUGAAUUUGUCUUAAUUAUAAAAUUCUGAAAUUUGAAAAUCUCGGAGGGAAGUCGUUAGUAGUUGCAAUCAUGCUCUCGUACUUUUAUUUUAUUUUAUUUUAAGACCCAAAACAAAAGACUUAAUCCAACUUUGCAGAACAGACUAUGCCCCGUUUGAUAGAGAUAAAAAUCAGCUUUUUAGCAAAUUUUGAUAAAAAUUGAUAAAAUAUGUGAUUGAAAAACUGUAAAUCUUAUAAAAUAUGUAAUUAAAAUUAAUUGUUGAUUUUGACUUUGAUAAAAAAAAAAAUUUUAACUUCUAUUAGACGGGAGCUAUAUAAUGUUAAUGAUUACGGUUAACAACCAAUUAUAAGUUGGACUACAACACACAUUUCAAGGGCCAAUUACAUUGUGUAUUUGAAACAGUGAAACAUCGCCCCUGUUUAUUUCUUAUUCUUUCUCCACUAGAAUGAAAAAUAUGACUGUUAUCUAUCACAUCAAGCCACCAAAUUUGAAUUUAUAUCUCUUGUGUGAGAUCCAUAACGGUUAUAUUUUUCAUUCUCAUUUUUACAAAAAUGGGAAACAAACGCCCCCUUCAAUUCAUUUAUGACAAAUACAAGACACAGAAAAACUUACAACAAGCAAUUUAUUUCGAUAUAAACCAAAUUCCAAUAAAUUCUGGUCCCUGCUACUUAUACAAUGCCCUGUCUAAACAGGGGGCGAUGUGACGCCCCCUAUUGGCCGGAGCUGCGUAGAUACCAAGCCAAUCUGUUUGGACGGGACAUUGUCCAAGAGGAAAAACUCAUAAAUUGUUGUCAUAUACUUCCUAAUUUAAGUAUCGAAAUCUUAUCACUAGUUCACACGAUUUUACCUAUUAUUUUAUACCAACAAUAAUUGCAACAUGUGUUAAGAACUGCGUUUGGUCUUGCGUCUUUUGACCCCCCUGAUCUCGUACUCAAAAUGGAACGAAAUAAAGAUACACGUUAAUGAUCAUUAAUUUUAUUAGAAAAAUGAUCAUUUUAUUUAUAAUUAAAUUUGAUUUCGAUUCGAUGCAAGAUCUAGUAAUGAACAUAAAAACGUUAGUUUAUUUAAAAUAAAUUAAAUAGUUUAUAUUCUUACACUAUACAAGAGAAUGAAAAUAUGGGGACCGAAUUUAAAAUAAUAGGUUAUUGAAAUAAAAUAAUAUUUACAAAAUUCUGCACCUUAUCAAAUGAAUUUCCAUACACGGCUUACACACACACUCACUACAAUCAACCCGCACUAAACACGCUCUUCGUCUCACACAUAUGGAUACACCGCAUGUCUAUAUAGAUACAUAUAUUUUCUUCGACACAUACUACACUGUGAAUACUCCAUUUUUGAAGCCAUGGCGCGCCAAUCCAAUCCGAAACCGAAGCCGUUAUACACUCUCUUCUUCUUCAUGAUCCUUUGUGGAUUCACCUACGGUCGCUUCAUUUCUGACAGUCCAGAUCUCGUCUCUGACGGGGUUCAUACACACGCCUCCAGUUUGCCUUCAUUUAUCCGCAUGUACGCGGCAGAGGAGACGUGUGAACAAACGUACGGGUUCAUGCCGUGCACCUCUACGGCAUUGGGAAAUCUGUUCCUAAUUAUAGUUUAUGGAUACCUGAUGUUCCAAGCCGCGACGUACCUCUCCAGUGGUAGUGAGCUUUUGCUUGAGAUUCUCGGUCCUGGAAUUGUUGGUGGUCUUUUUCUCCCUAUUCUCGGAGCUCUUCCUGAUGCUAUGCUUAUUCUCGGUACUAAUCAAUUUUCACUAUUUCAUCGUAUAUUCAAAGUUAGCUGAAUUUAUUAUGCUUUGCUGUGCGCUUUGCCCGGUCAGCUAUAAAAAGAGUUAAUGAAAAUUUCAGGUUGAAUAGAAACUUGAUACACAUAGCGCAGUGUUGAGAGCAGAUUGUCUGAAAAUUGAGUCGGAUACUCUAUACCUACAUGCAUAGUAAAAAUGAUCAUUUUAUUUAUAAUUAAAUUUGAUUUCGAUUCGAUGCAAGAUCUAGUAAUGAACAUAAAAACGUUAGUUUAUUUAAAAUAAAUUAAAUAGUUUAUAUUCUUACACUAUACAAGAGAAUAAAAAUAUAGGGACCGAAUUUAAAAUAAUAGGUUCUUGAAAUAAAAUAAUAUUUACAAAAUUCUGCACCUUAUCAAAUGAAUUUCCAUACACGGCUUACACACACACACUAACUGCAAUCAACACGCACUAAACACGCUCUUCGUCUCACACAUAUGGAUACACCGCAUGUCUAUAUAGAUACAUAUAUUUUCUUCGACACAUACUACACUGUGAAUACUCCAUUUUUGAAGCCAUGGCGCGCCAAUCCAAUCCGAAACCGAAGCCGUUAUACACUCUCUUCUUCUUCAUGAUCCUUUGUGGAUUCACCUACGGUCGCUUCAUUUCUGACAGUCCAGAUCUCGUCUCUGACGGGGUUCAUACACACGCCUCCAGUUUGCCUUCAUUUAUCCGCAUGUACGCGGCAGAGGAGACGUGUGAACAAACGUACGGGUUCAUGCCGUGCACCUCUACGGCAUUGGGAAAUCUGUUCCUAAUUAUAGUUUAUGGAUACCUGAUGUUCCAAGCCGCGACGUACCUCUCCAGUGGUAGUGAGCUUUUGCUUGAGAUUCUCGGUCCUGGAAUUGUUGGUGGUCUUUUUCUCCCUAUUCUCGGAGCUCUUCCUGAUGCUAUGCUUAUUCUCGGUACUAAUCAAUUUUCACUAUUUCAUCGUAUAUUCAAAGUUAGCUGAAUUUAUUAUGCUUUGCUGUGCGCUUUGCCCGGUCAGCUAUAAAAAGAGUUAAUGAAAAUUUCAGGUUGAAUAGAAACUUGAUACACAUAGCGCAGUGUUGAGAGCAGAUUGUCUGAAAAUUGAGUCGGAUACUCUAUACCUACAUGCAUAGUAAUUUAAAUUUCCUUUAAUUAAUAUCACAAGUUGAAAAGCAAAGUAUGCGUCUUUGGGUAUAAAUUCAUCUCUAAGAAACUGAAAAUGAAUAGAUUUGGUCUUUUUGAUUUAUUUAUUUUUUCAAAAAAGUAAAUAUCCCCUUUAGAUUUUUUUUUUUUUUUUAAAUUCAUAACAGUGUCUACCCCCUCACAUGGAGGAGACUCACUCAUUUAUUUGAAGUGGAUCCCCCUCCACGUAAGGGAUGGACACCGUUAUAGAGAUCGUAUUAUAUAAAAGUAGCAUAUUCCUUUUUUUAAAACCUUCCUUUGUAUUUAACCGCAUGAUGUAGUAAAUUAGAUUAGGGAAUUU
rnacentral:lncRNA from 1 species